rnacentral:rRNA from 1 species
UACGUAGGUGGCAAGCGUUGUCCGGAAUUAUUGGGCGUAAAGCGCGCGCAGGCGGUCUCUUAAGUCUGAUGUGGAAGCCCCCGGCUCAACCGGGGAGGGUCAUUGGAAACUGGGAGACUUGAGUGCAGAAGAGAAGAGUGGAAUUCCACGUGUAGCGGUGAAAUGCGUAGAGAUGUGGAGGAACACCAGUGGCGAAGGCGACUCUUUGGUCUGUAACUGACGCUGAGGCGCGAAAGCGUGGGGAGCAAACAGG